rnacentral:ncRNA from 2 species
GCCUAGCGGCGGUCCGUGGGGUCCGCCACCGCCGUACGGCGGUGAGGGAGGAAGCCCGGUGAGAUUCCGGCGCGGUCCCGCCACUGUGAGCCCGGCCCCCCGGCCGAGCGAGUCAGGAACUCCCUUUCCCAGGCUCUCGGUC